rnacentral:lncRNA from 1 species
CGUACGUGUGGGAGUAGGCUGUCUGCAUAGGAACCGUUCACUGAUGAAUUCUAGAAGACACAGGUCUGGGAUGGCCCUGUGGACACAACUCCUGAAAUGAGACCGAAUGACUGCAGAGACUGGCGCCACUGAAAAACAGAGGGAAAGAAAGGGCUUAUCGGAGAGUCCUCAGAUUAUGAUGAAAAUUCUUCAGGCAUUUAAAAGUCGACUUGUGAGAAGCCGCUGUAACCGUGCCAAGAGCCAGCUCUGUGGACCUCAGGAAUCUCAUGCUUCCAUCUCUGCUGCUGCCAACACCACGGUCAUGUUUUAUGUGUGCCCGUGUGAAUGGGGCCUCUGGGGAUCACAGACCCAGCUCCCCUCCCAGGUAGCGCCCUGCCCCAUGCAGGACUCUUCUCAACCCCAUGCUUCUAUAUCUGUGGGGAAGGUUGUUCCAAGCCCUUCCGGCCAAUGACACUCAGGCUUUUGGGUUGGGCAAAUUCUCAGGUCCCUCCGUGCCAUCCUACCCACUCUGGAGGGACUAACUAGUAUUUCUCUUAUAGCACUGAAAAAUAAAAUUUAUUUUGGGCCUCACAGAGCUCUAGGGACCACGUGGCUGUGUCAGCCCCAGGAGGAGGCAAGGAAAGGGUCCCUAUGGAGCCCAAAUCCGACAGGCAGAAGCCAGGUCAGAUGGUGCCCUGAGAACGUGCAGUCUAGAAGACCCAACCUGAGCCCUGACAACCCUCACCAGGAACUCAUAAGGAGGUGG